CAAGUACUCCCUCCGUCCGGAAAUACUUGUCAUCAAAAUAAAUAAAAGGGGAUGUAUCUAGAUGUAUUUUAGUUAUAGAUAUAUCCAUUUUUGUCCAUUUUGAUGACAAGUAUUUUCGGACGGAGGGAGUAGUGC
rnacentral:pre_miRNA from 1 species